rnacentral:lncRNA from 1 species
UCAGGGGGUUGGGACUAAGACUGGAAAAAGGAAUCAGAACAAGGGGAAAGCAGAAAUGAAAGCUCGGCCUGACAGGUGGAGCUUAGCCUCCUGGUGACAGUAAUGCUAGACAGAGGAUUCGUGGAGUCCAGCUCAGUGAGUGGUGGGAUGCUCUGGGAUGGUUGGAAUGCUUGCUAGGAAGCUAAGAAGGCUAAGGCAUCUAGCCUUCAUCACUUGAAGCAGUGCAGGCACAGACAGGACUGCAGCCACUUCGGGCUUUCGAAACCCAUCCUUGGUGUUUGAAAUCAAGCGUCCUGCUAACACAGCAAGUGUUCGUCCUCGCUGAGGCCAUUCCUCUAGCCCUGCUGGUGUGCACUGGGAUGUGGAACUCGCUGGGUGUCCAGGUACAAGCCUCAGGAUACCAUAUUCUGCAUCUCCUGCUAGAUGUCUCGCCCAUCCAAUCAGAGGCCAUGGAAGCCGGCAGGCGCAUGAGCAUGUGACAUUUCCUUGAACACUGGGAGAAGCAGCUGAGCAUGAAGCAGAGACACAGCUA